rnacentral:lncRNA from 1 species
AAUACAAUUUUUUGCAUUUCAAUGUUAUGCAAUUUCGUAGCUGAUUUUUUUCCUUCUUUCUUUUUCAAUUUAUUUUAUUUGAUUUUGAUCUUCUACGGAUGGGAUGAUGUCAUGGAAACUUGAGUUUGAUUAUUAAAUGAUGAUUAUGAUGUGGUUAUAUAUGGUCAUGGAAUAUUGGUUUGAAUUUAACAUAAUCUUUUU